UAAAAGCAAAAUGACGAUUGAAUCCACGUGGUUAUAGUCUAGCAGACGGGACUUCAACCUCCUUGCUCUGCUUUCUCUUUUCUACAAUUGUAUAUCAGCCGCCCAUUUCCUCCUUCCUUCCUUUUUACAUAGCCUCUCUUUCUCUCUCUCCUCAAGCCUUCAUCUUUUGUUUGUUUUCUCUUUAAUCACUUGCCAAUCUCCACAGAUCUCUUUGCAUCUAACAGAAUUUCUCAAGUUUUCCUUCUGGGAUGUAAAGACAGGGUGCAAAUUAAAGGAGAUAGCUACUGGGUAUGAAGAAAUUGUGACCAUGUGCUUGAGGAUGACUGUUGAAGGGAGUUCCAAUAAGGUAUACAAGAGACCAUUUUUGGUGAAGGAGCUUAAUAUUUAUGGAAAUGAAAAGUAUAAAAAUGAUGUUUUUGAAUUGUUGAUGAGUUUUGAAGCACAUGACUCAUGAGUUUUUGUGCUUUCAAUAACUGCCAUGGGUGGUGUAGGUGAGAAAUUUCACACUCACAUUAUGUACUACGAUGAUAUAUAGAAGUUUGAUUCUAAAGUAUGGGUUUACGUUUCUAAUAGAUUUGACAUUCUUGUCUGGAAAGAAGUUUUCAGUCAGUCUAGAUGAUGUGUGGACCGAGAACUAUGAGGAUUGUAUUUUCGAUAUUUUUAAAUUUUAAGAUUGAGUUAUUAUCAUCUUUUUUCAUAUGGAGAGAUUCUUGGCUUAUUGUGCAAUUUUACCAAGGGAUUUCAAAUUUGACAAGAAUGAGUUGUUUUAUUAUGGAUGGCAUAAGGAGGUUUAGCGGAUACGAAGGCUCAUGCUUUAUAAUUUUCAACUUUAUAUCAUCAUGAAAAUAAAAUGUGUUUAGGAUGAUAAGGACAAGUAAUUGAAAUUUGAAGUCUACUAAGCAAGUUGUUGAAGAAUUAGACCUGGAUUGGGUUGAUGAUUUCCAAGAUAAGUAAAGGUGGAUUGGUAAUCAAAGGCAAAAGUUGAUGUACAAAUACAAUUUCCUUUCUAGAUGAGGGUGGCUUACCACUUCUCAGUUCCCACUAAUGAAUACCGUUGAUUAUUAUAGAUUCUAUAUAGGUCCAACUAUAAUCAAUUCAGAUACAAGUUCAUUAUAAAAGAGACAAUGAAUUGAUGGUACAAAUCUGCAGCACUAUUCAAUUUCCUGCUCUGGAAACAGAAAAGUUGAGGUACUAUUCCUUUGUUCAAUCUCCUGUCUGGUUCAACAUUUUCAAUUUCUCAUGUUGAUGGAAUCUAUUUGGCGAAGUUUUGUUAAUGGAUUCAAUUGAUUUUCUCCAUUCUUAUGGUAUGAAAUGUGAACUUUUCCAAAUUGCACAAAUACGGGUAACUUUUGUUCCAAGGUGUAAUAACACAGACUUAUUAUUUAUAAUCACAGGUAGAUGCAUGCAUAAAGGUUCAUGUGAAGACAUCAAAGACAACAUCAACUCACCUGGGAGCUCUUGGAAAGUUGAGAAAUGGAAGUUCAAUUUGAUUUCCGAAUGCAAUUGGCUUCAUUUGUAUUAUCCUUGGACAAGGAGUGCUCUUUCUGGUGUCUUCAAGUAUGCAGUGACUGUAGCCGAUGAUAUUAAUGAAAAUAAAUUUUAUUUAAUUAGUGAAUCACAUCAAAGCACACAUAAUUAACAUAAUUUAUUUGACAAUGCUAGUGUGAAAAAAUAAUAUGAAAUUUCUGGUUAUACUUGCACCUUACCUGAACCAAAUCAUUCAAUUAUUGUAAUCCUGCUAAUUAAAGGGACAGCAAUUCCAUGGUACAGCUAUAGCUCAAGCAAGGUCAGACCAUUCGAGCAAACAGUUCAUAUCUUGUCAGAAGGGAAAGGGAGAAUAAUUCGAAUGCAAGUAACCAAUCUCGCCUAACAAUUUGUAAAUUUCUUCAAGUUUGGCAUUAUUUUUAGAGAGAUUAAAAAAAGAACUAUAUUACAAGAACGCAAAUAAAAAAUAUAUAUAUAUUUAAAAAAA